CGGGUGCUGCCCGGCGGCCCCCCCGUUGGCGGGGGCAUGGCUGGCAUUGCUCAGUGACACCCUAUCUGCCAGGGCCCGGCCAGCCGCGGGCCCAGAAUAGCAGCGCUGCCCUGCAGUCAGCAUGGAGCAACUCCCCGGCCCCGCUGCUCCCCAGAUGGCGCCGCUGGAUGCCGCUGCCCGCCCCGAGGACGAAGGUUUGCCCGCAGGGUUCCCAGAGGCGCCGUGCCCCAGGGAGGAGGAGGAAGAGGAGGAGGAGGAGGACAGGCGGAGGAGCCCCAGGCCCGUCACCUUCACGCUGGGCAGCGAGGUGCUGGGGCUGGGCCCCGAGGCGGAUUUCCAGACCCCCGACGCCGAGGUCUACAUGCACUUCUUGAGGAGCCACUGCUGCUACGACGCCGUCCCCACCAGCUGCAAGCUCGUCGUCUUCGACACCAGCCUGGAGAUCAAGAAGGCUUUUGUGGCGCUGGUGGCCAACGGGGUGCGUGCCGCCCCGCUGUGGGACAGCAAGACGCAGAGCUUCGUGGGGAUGCUCACCAUCACCGACUUCAUCAACAUCCUCCACCGCUACUACCGCUCGCCCCUGGUUCAGAUCUACGAGGUGGAGGAGCACAAGAUUGAGACGUGGAGAGAGGUGUACCUGCAGGGCUCCUUCAAGCCGCUGGUCUACAUCUCACCGAGCAAUAGCCUCUUCGACGCCGUCUACUCCCUGAUCAAGCACAAGAUCCACCGCCUGCCCGUCAUCGAGCCCACCUCGGGCAACGUCCUGCACAUCCUGACGCACAAACGCAUCCUCAAGUUCCUCCACAUCUUCGGCUCCACCAUCCCCAAGCCGCGCUUCCUGAAGAAGACGGUGCAGGAGCUGUGCGUUGGCACCUUCCGCAACGUGGCCGUGGUGCCCGAGACCGCCCCCAUCUACGCGGCGCUGGAGAUCUUCGUGGACCGCCGCGUCUCCGCGCUGCCCGUCAUCAACGACGCCGGGCAGGUGGUCGGGCUCUACUCCAGGUUCGAUGUCAUUCACCUGGCGGCCCAGAAGACCUACAACAACCUGGACAUCAGCGUGCGCGAGGCGCUGCGGCAGCGCACCGUGUGCCUGGAGGGGGUCCUCACCUGCUACCCCCACGAGACCAUGGAGGACAUCAUCGACCGCAUCGCCAAGGAGCAGGUCCAUCGCCUGGUUCUGGUGGACGAGAACCAGUACCCGCGGGGCAUCGUCUCCCUCUCCGACAUCCUCCAGGCCCUCGUGCUCACUCCCGCAGGUAUCGAUGCUCUUAACUCUUAGCCCACGACGCUCCAUCUUUCUCCAUUCGCACCCUCCAUUUCUCUCCGCUUCAGGCAUCGACUGAAGACACCGGGGAAGUGCCGCCGCCGUCUCGUCUGACUCGGGGCCUCUUGCUUGGCCCGGCCCAGGCACUGGCGGGGCCGUGGAAGGAGGCUCAGGCCCUGGGGGCUCUCCAUAUGGGGGGGCUGCCCACCCACCCCGCUGCUGGGACUCGUCUUGAGCCCGGGGCCAGCUCCCUCCAGCCUUGGGGAGGACCAAGGGCGAGCACGUGGGGAUGCCUGACGGGCACCGUGCCGAGAAGGGCUGCGCAGCCGGGUGCAGGGACCCUCCUGGCCACCCCCAUCCCAUCCCAUCCCAAACUGCUGCCGGAUCCCAGUGCUUCAGCCCCCGGUGAGCUGGGUCCUGCUGGCUGUGGCGGCACCGGGUGCUGGGCUCGGGCACAGGAGGGGCACAGUGGCGUGGCUCAGCUGCACACACAGCCUUGUUUAUUGUAGGGUCUCCUAGGGCUGGAGCGCCCCGGCAGCGGUGCUUGCAAGGGGACCUUGCACACUUUUUUUUUUUUUUGGGGGGGGGUAUUUAUUUCUGUGCUUUGUUGGAAUAAAGCUGCCCGCCCCAGGCACC